CCCACUGAAGCCUUUGAGGAUCCCGUGGAUCCGUGAAUCGUUACGAGUGUAUAUUUAUUUUUCGCACUCAUUGAGUUCAGUUUUGGAGAGACUUGUAUUUAUUUUGGUGUUGCCUUAGUAACAUAAGAUUUGGAACUCAAAUUUUAUUUUUCAAGGGAUUGUAAUGUAUUUUAUUCUGCUGCAUAUAAUUGUUUUAAAUGCACUCGUAAUAUGUUUCUGUAUCUA
rnacentral:lncRNA from 1 species